GGGUGCAAGCGUUAUCCGGAUUCACUGGGUUUAAAGGGUGCGUAGGCGGGUUGGUAAGUCCGUGGUGAAAUCCCCAAGCUUAACUUGGGAACUGCCGUGGAUACUAUCAAUCUUGAAUAUCGUGGAGGUAAGCGGAAUAUGUCAUGUAGCGGUGAAAUGCUUAGAUAUGACAUAGAACACCAAUUGCGUAGGCAGCUUACUACACGAUCAUUGACGCUGAGGCACGAAAGCGUGGGGAGCAAACAGG
rnacentral:rRNA from 1 species